AACGAACGCUGGCGGCAUGCCUAACACAUGCAAGUCGAACGAGACCUUCGGGUCUAGUGGCGCACGUGUGCGUAACGCGUGGGAACCUGCCCUUAGGUUCGGAAUAACUCCCCGAAAGGGGUGCUCAUACCGGAUAAUGUCUUCGGACCAAAGAUUUAUCGCCUUUGGAUGGGCCCGCGUUGGAUUAGCUAGUUGGUAGGGUAAAAGCCUAUCAAGGCGACGAUCCAUGGCUGGUCUGAGAGGAUGAUCAGCCACACUGGGGCUGAGACACGGACCAGACUGCGACGGAGGGCUGCAGUGGAGAAUAUUGGACGAGGAGCGAUAGCCUGAUCAAGCAAUGCCGCGUGUGAGAGGAAUGCCGUAGGGUUGUAAAGCUCUUUUACCCGGGAUGAUAAUGACAGUAACGGGAGAAGAAGCUCCGGCUAACUCCGUG
rnacentral:rRNA from 1 species